rnacentral:rRNA from 1 species
GCUCAGAUUGAACGCUGGCGGCAGGCCUAACACAUGCAAGUCGAACGGUAACAGGAAGCAGCUUGCUGCUUCGCUGACGAGUGGCGGACGGGUGAGUAAUGUCUGGGAAACUGCCUGAUGGAGGGGGAUAACUACUGGAAACGGUAGCUAAUACCGCAUAACGUCGCAAGACCAAAGAGGGGGACCUUCGGGCCUCUUGCCAUCGGAUGUGCCCAGAUGGGAUUAGCUAGUAGGUGGGGUAAUGGCUCACCUAGGCGACGAUCCCUAGCUGGUCUGAGAGGAUGACCAGCCACACUGGAACUGAGACACGGUCCAGACUCCUACGGGAGGCAGCAGUA